rnacentral:lncRNA from 1 species
CCUUUGCAAAAAGACACAUGAUCGCCUUCCCGUCCCCAAAUUUCCCACUCUAGUUCCUUCAAGAUCACAAUGUCAACUAAUGUCCAGCCACAUAUGUGAUUCCAAUUACCAAAUUUGUUCAUAUGUUUACAAAUAUAAAGAAUAACCAUCUCAAAGUGUGUCUUAUCGAUGCUUGUGAGACCUUUGCAGUUCAUUUUGGC